UUCUGCAGUUGGAUAAGCCCAAAUCACAGCAAGCUUCUGGCUGUGUACUAGUGCUGGACGAGUUCAUGUCCCAUCACGUGUGCACCAGGGCAAUCCUGGAGGCCUCUUUCUCCAUCAAGGCAUUCCACAGACACAGCAUGUCAAUCCAUCCUCUUUGCAGAAUUCCCAGGAGCGAUGUGCACGAGCAGCAUCCCAACUCUCUCAGCUGAGAUUCACUGGACCCCAUGGGGCUCUGCAGGGGCUUAAAACAUCCCCACCGCCUUCUGCCUCGGAUAGCAGGUGAAAAAGAAUGCUGUGUAGCCAACAUCUAAUACUCCCCAGAGCGUGUCCAGAGCUUGACAGCCUUCAAUAGGUUAAUUUUUCAAAGUGGGUAAGAGAGAAGGAAAACCAGCCCGAAGGAUGCGGGUGAGGAGGCGGUUAUCAGCGCUGGAGUUCAGCUCAGGUCGUGCUGCUGG